CCUACGGGGGCAGCAGUGGGGAAUCUUGCGCAAUGGGCGAAAGCCUGACGCAGCCAUGCCGCGUGAAUGAUGAAGGUCUUAGGAUUGUAAAAUUCUUUCACCGGGGACGAUAAUGGCGGUACCCGGAGAAGAAGCCCCGGCUAACUUCGUGCCAGCAGCCGCGGUAAUACGAAGGGGGCUAGCGUUGCUCGGAAUUACUGGGCGUAAAGGGAGCGUAGGCGGAUAGUUUAGUCAGAGGUGAAAGCCCAGGGCUCAACCUUGGAAUUGCCUUUGAUACUGGCUAUCUUGAGUACGGAAGAGGUAUGUGGAACUCCGAGUGUAGAGGUGAAAUUCGUAGAUAUUCGGAAGAACACCAGUGGCGAAGGCGACAUACUGGUCCGUUACUGACGCUGAGGCUCGAAAGCGUGGGGAGCAAACAGGAUUAGAUACCCUGGUAGUCCACGCUGUAAACGAUGAGUGCUAGUUGUCGGCAUGCAUGCAUGUCGGUGACGCAGCUACGACAUUAAGACACUCCGCCGUCGGGAGGUACGGUCGCGAAGAAUUAAACUACAAGGAAGUUAGACGGCGUGAGACGUGCCGACGGACGACGACGAGGGAGUAGG
rnacentral:rRNA from 1 species